UCCUUGCUGGCUCAGACAGUAAAGAAUCUGCCUGCAAUGCAGGAGACCAGGGUUCAAUCCCUGGGUAAGGAA
rfam:TPA: Bos taurus chromosome 4, whole genome shotgun sequence.